rnacentral:rRNA from 1 species
CCUACGGGAGGCACCAGUGGGGAAUAUUGCACAAUGGGCGAAAGCCUGAUGCAGCAACGCCGCGUGAGGGAUGACGGCCUUCGGGUUGUAAACCUCUUUCAGUAGGGAAGAAGCGAAAGUGACGGUACCUGCAGAAGAAGCGCCGGCUAACUGCGUGCCAGCAGCCGCGGUAAUACGUAGGGCGCAAGCGUUGUCCGGAAUUAUUGGGCGUAAAGAGCUUGUAGGUGGCUUGUCGCGUCUGCCGUGAAAACCCGAGGCUCAACCUCGGGCGUGCGGUGGGUACGGGCAGGCUAGAGCGUGGUAGGGGAGACUGGAACUCCUGGUGUAGCGGUGAAAUGCGCAGAUAUCAGGAAGAACACCGAUGGCGAAGGCAGGUCUCUGGGCCAUUACUGACACUGAGAAGCGAAAGCAUGGGGAGCGAACAGGAUUAGAUACCCUAGUAGUC